GCGUGACUGCCUCGCGCCACCCUCACGCGCCGUGGCGUCACCGUGGGCGGGGCCCACCGUGGCUGACAUCACACCACCCUGAAAGAGGCCCGUUCAGCCCGUCAGGGACUCGCUACCUGACCCGUGCGCUGCAAUCUGGGACACUUCGGCCAAAUCGUCGUCCAGCGGGAUUUAUUUUCCUCACAUCCAUAGACAGUGUGGCAGCAGCCCAUUCGGUUCGACGAAUCCACGCUGACCUGCCGAUGAGCUUCCAGACCCACCUAUCCGUGUAACCCUGGAUUUUCUGUGGCUAAUGCACGUAAUGUACACAUGUCUGAACACCAGGGGCAAUUUAGCAUGGCCAAUCCAUGUAAUCUUUGGACUUUGGGAGGAAACUGGAUCAUCUGGCCGAAACUCAUGCAAACAGGGGAGAACGAGCAAAACUACGUACAGACAAUCGCUUGAGGAUGGAAUCAAACUCAGAUCCCUGGCACCUCCCCGUGACAGGAGUGCUCGCCACUGUGCUGCCCAUUCCACGAAGCUACUUUCUGAUUUUGUUUUGAAAUUAUGGGCUCCACAUGCCCAUGCACAGGAUUAGUCAGCCCUCUUUAUUUUCAAGAUCGGAGAUUACACGCACCUGCCCACCCACACAGUCUGUUUUUUUUCAUUCAAAGCACGCAUCAAAAAAGUACAGAGAGGGAUGCCAAUGACCUACUGUGUUUGCACAGUCUCUUAGAAACAUUCCACUGACUAAAUAAUUUAGGAGCAGAAGUAGGCCAUUCAGUUCAUUGAGAUUGCGCUGCCAUUCAAUGAGAUUAGGGAUGAUCUGAUAAUCCUCAAAUUCAGUUUCCUGCUUUUUCCCCCAUAACUCUUGAUUCUCUUACUGAUUAAAAAUUGAAGCCAGCCUUGAACGUAUUUGAUGACUCAGCCCCAACAGCUGUUCGCAACUAAGAAUUCCAGAGGUUCACAACUCAAAACAUUUCUUUUCAUCUCUGUUUUAAAUGUGCGACCCCUUAUUCUGAGAUUAUACCCUCUGGUUUUAGAUUUUCCCAUAAGGAGAAACAAACUUUCUGCAUCCUUCCUAUCAAGUCCUGUAACAGUCUUGUAUAUUUCGAUAAGGUUGCCUCACAUUCUUCUAUAUUUUAGUAAAUACAAGCCCAAUCUACUCAAUUUCUCCCCAUAAGACAAUCCCUCCAUACUUGGUUUCAAGCUAGUGAAACUUCUCGUGGUUGCAUCAAUGCAAGUACAUCUGCCUUUCGGUAAAGGGCCCCAAAACAGUGCACAUGUCCCAACAGCAGUCUGACAAGUGCCUUGUAGUAGUUUAGCAAAACCUGCAUACUUUUAUACCCUAUUCCCUUUGAAAUAUAAGCUAGCAUUCCAGUUGCUUUCCAUGUAACCCUGAACUUGGAUGCUAGUCUUUUGUCAUUCAUAGAUAUGAACUCUCACUUUUCUUAACUUUCUGCAGUUUUUCUCCAUUUAAAUAAUAUUCAGCUCCUCUAUUCCUUUCAAAAUGCAUAACCUCACAUUUGUCCGCAAUAUAUUUCAUCUGCCAAGUUUUUGCCCGCUUGCUUAACCUGUCUACAUUCCUCUGCAGACUCUGUUAUUCUUCACCAUAUGGCUUCCCAUCUAUUUUUGACUACAAACUUGGCUACACCAUAUUCAAUUCUCUCAUGCAAGUUGUUAAUAUCUAUUAUAAAUAAUUGUGGCCAGAGCACCAAUCCCUGUUUGGUUAGCACUCAUUUGGUUAGAGGUUGUCGCCUUGAAAAUGCCCCCCUUCAUCUCAACUUCCUGCCUUCUAUUAGUUAGCCAGUCUUUAUCCAUGCUAAUGUACUAUCUCCAACACCUGGGAAUCUCAGCUUAAGUAGGCUAAUGUAUGGUACUUUAACAAAUUACUUCUGAAAUCCAAAUAUAUUCCAUCCACUGCUUCUUCAUUAUCCAUCAUGUUUAUUACCUCCUCAAAGAAUUCAAUCAAAUUCUUCAAACAUAAUUUCUCCUUCAUAAAGCCACGCUGAUUCUGCUUGAUCAUAUUACAUAUUUCUAAAUGGUCUGCUAUUACAUCUUUUGUGUGAUAGACUUUAACACUUUGCCAAUAACAGCCAUUCUGGCCUAUCAUUACCUGUUUUUUGUCUCCUCUUUUUAAAAAAAGGUGUUGCAUUGUCGGUUUUCCAAUCCUCUGGGACUUUUCCAGAAUUUAAGGAUUUCAGGAAAAUUACUUCCCAUGCAUCUACUAUCCUCGUAGAUACAUACUUUGUUACCUUAAAAUACAUCCCCUCAGGUCCAGAAGGCCGAUUAGUCUUUAGCCCCAUUAGCACAUUUUCUCGAGUGAUAUUGAUUUUGGUAUUAAUAUUGAUAUUGCAUUGAUUUCCUUUCCUCCUUUUGCCCCUUGAACAGUGAGUAAAUGUGCUGUUCAUGUAUUCUACUGUGAUUUAAUGCAAGGUAUGUAUUCAACUUCUCUGCCAUUUCCUGGUUCCCGUUUAUUAUUUCCCCACUCUCAUUCUCUAAAGUGCCUGUGCUCAUUUUGGCUUCUCUUUUCCUUUUUAAAUAUUUAAAUGUCUGUCUUGAUAUUACUUGCAUGUUUACCAUCUAAGUUUAUUUUCUCCCUUUUUUGAUUACGUUUCUUUGAUUCUUAAAACUUUACCAAUCCUCUGGUUUAUCACUGAAUUUGCCAAUAGUAUGUUUUUACUUCACUCUGGUGUUAUCCUAAACCUUCCUGGAUGACCAUGGUUGGGUUAUAUCUUUCCUAAAAUCCUUCUUUGUCUCUGGAAUAUGUUUUACUGUGAGCCAUGAACUAUUUUCUGAAAUAUCUGCCAUUGUUCCUCAGCUAUAUUCUCUGCUAAACUCCUUCACAGUACAUUCUAGCCAAGUCAUUCACUGUAAUGAUGGUGGAUGGUCAGCCAUGAUCAUAAUGAAUGGUGGUGCUGGCCCGAAGGGCCAAAUGGCCUACUCCUGCACCCAUUGUCUAUUAUCUAUUGUCUAAUUACCUUUAUUUUUGCUUCUAUUAUUUCUAACAAGUUCACUUUCAAAUUGAAUUCUGAGUUUGACUAUGAUACGGUCACUGCUUCCAAGGGGGUUUUUUUAUUCUGAGAUAAUUUCUUAAAACUGCCUCAUUCUGAAAUUCACCGACAUCCCUUGCUAUCAUGCCAUCUUUAAGAGUCCAUUGUGCACUGCACUAUCAGUCCAGAGCUGCCCUGCACAGUUCCUGAUCUUUAUCCCGGACCUGGCAGACAAAGGAAAUUGUCACCCCACUUUGUGGGUGGGAUCCUGUAGUGGAGCCACAACACCAGACCCUACAAGUUUGGUCUAAAAUUGCCACCUAGAUUAAUGCAACUUGACUGCUCGGUAUUAGAGGCUGACUUUGACCUACUGUGGUAGCAACCCCAGAGUGAAGACUAUCUCCCUUGACUUGAUUGAGCACCACUGACAAUGAGGACAAACUUCCUUAAAUGGCACUACAAGACAGCAGUAAAAUGAGACUGGUAUCUUUGACUAAGGGGCCAAAGUGCAAAAGGGAACAGUGUAUCUGAGGUGGAGUUGGAGGAACCAGACCUGGUGUGAAAACACCCCAGGAGAAGAAUGGGGCCUACAUCCCAGGACUCAGAGGUAUUGAUUGAAACAAGAUAAGUCAGGGACAAUGAUUGAAAAGCUGAGACCAUCUUUUGCAGAACAUGAACUUCUGAAAUUGUUGGUAACAGAAAACUGGCCAUUGUUUACCAGCAGGGAAUUCAAGUAUUUCCUAAAGUCAAAUGGCAAUUGGCAGCCUCAAUGCCAUUACCACCUGGAGAAGAAGAAUUUCUUCCGAAAUGUUCUGGGCGUAAGAGGUGGGCUAUGGUCCAGUAUAUACCACCAGUAUCCAAAGCAGAGUCGGAGGAACUGGACUCGGUGUGAAAAAGCACAGGGAGAAGCUACAGGAAAAAGAACAGGCAUAUGUCCCAAGACUUAGACGGGGACGGACGUGGUAAUUGGAAUGAGGUCAGCCACGUGGACAUCAUAGAAUAUAGAUGGAGAAAGGACCUUACUGACCAGCAAUACAGAAACUGAGUUGCUGCCUCGUAGGAGCAGAAUGGGACCUCGGCCCAUGCAAUACGAUAGGAAAAGACCCAGGAGCCUACAAUACUGAACAAUGCAAACGGCAGCAGUUGCUGCAUUUGGCUGGUGUUGAAAUGGUGUCUGUGCGUUUGUGUGUGUAUUCGUGUGCAUGUGUACAUCUGCAUGCACAGACACUAAUCCCCGAACUGCUAUUCACAUGUUUCCUCAAAAGCAGGACUAAAAGGGAAUUUCCUGCUGCUCCCACACAAACAGAUGGCUGCUCAGUAUCAGUUUUAUGAAAUUUUAAUGUCUGUUUAUAUUUUUGCAGUCCUGUUUGCUCAAUGCUUAAAUCAAAUGCCUGUUAUUUCAGCGAUUACAUGCCUACUAUGUUCUACGUUCACUUUAAAGUGUAUUGAAAUAUUCAGAGGCCCAUUAAUAGAUUGAGAUGAGCAGGUGUUCAAUCACAAUUAAUAUUCAAGGGAAGUCUAUCAAUUGUUAUAUGCAUUUCUGAACCAUGGCCAGUCAGCUUGUCUUGGCUGCUUUUAAUUUGUUUUUAACCUUUCGGAGAAGAUGUGCAUCACCUUCUGAUGUGUAAAACAUCAUUUCAAAAGAGUAUUAUUUAAUUACAAAGCAUUUAGCAACAUUGGCACAAAAACUACUUACUCUUGGCAAAAGUAACAAAGUGCUGGGUAAGACAUUGAAAUAGGCUGGGAUUUCUGGAGCUCAGGAAAUCAUUGCACCCACUUGUUAUACACGGUUCAGCUCUAGAGAAAUUCAGCUACUGCUAUUUAGACCCGAAUUUCGUAAUAACAUUUUGCAAACAGCUCAAGGGCACAAAUUAACGAGCCUGAUACUUGCUCACCACCCAAACAAACUAAGGCAUAGCACAUCACAGUAUGAAAUUCAGAAAUCUAAUGAUAAGUGUGUCCUAUUUCUCUGCUCUGUUGUUUCUGUAUCCAGUUUUCAACUGUAGAAGUGUCAGUUUACCAACUACUCAAAUCUCGCUGCACUGCAGCAUGCAAGAAUUUCUCAGUGAUCCAGGGACAGGUUUGGACUUGUUAUCAGCACAUUACUUGUAUCUUUAGUUUACUAGUUGCCUGAGCAAUGCUCCCUGUGAGCCGUGCAGUCGCUAGAAAAACCCACGCACGUGCCGUCAGCCUCCACUGUAGGAGGCCCUCUGUUUCAACAUAUCACACACAAAACUCUCACGUCCGGGCAGGAAAAUCAAAAAUCUGAGGAAACAUUAGCAGUGUGUAAGUGAGAUAAAAGUUCUGCAAGAGAGCACCAAGAGUCAAAAUGCUGUAGGCAGAGAAGGACUCCAACUUCCAUUUCAUGUCACAGCAAUAACUGAUGCAGCAGGUUCACAAGAUUAUCUGCUCCUUUGGAGGAGAUUCAAGAUCGGAUUCAUGCCUGUGGAAUCGGCAGAAAACUCCAU